rnacentral:rRNA from 1 species
UACGAAGGGGGCUAGCGUUGCUCGGAAUCACUGGGCGUAAAGCGCACGUAGGCGGAUUGUUAAGUCAGGGGUGAAAUCCUGGAGCUCAACUCCAGAACUGCCUUUGAUACUGGCGAUCUCGAGUCCGGGAGAGGUGAGUGGAACUGCGAGUGUAGAGGUGAAAUUCGUAGAUAUUCGCAAGAACACCAGUGGCGAAGGCGGACUCACUGGCCCGGU